rnacentral:rRNA from 1 species
CCUACGGGUGGCUGCAGUGGGGAAUAUUGGACAAUGGGGGGAACCCUGAUCCAGCCAUGCCGCGUGUGUGAAGAAGGCCCUCGGGUUAUAAAGCACUUUCAGUGAGGAAGAACGCCUGGUGGUUAAUACCCAUCAGGAAAGACAUCACUCACAGAAGAAGCACCGGCUAACUCCGUGCCAGCAGCCGCGGUAAUACGGAGGGUGCGAGCGUUAAUCGGAAUUACUGGGCGUAAAGCGCGCGUAGGUGGCUUGAUAAGCCGGUUGUGAAAGCCCCGGGCUCAACCUGGGAACGGCAUCCGGAACUGUCAAGCUAGAGUGCAGGAGAGGAAGGUAGAAUUCCCGGUGUAGCGGUGAAAUGCGUAGAGAUCGGGAGGAAUACCAGUGGCGAAGGCGGCCUUCUGGACUGACACUGACACUGAGGUGCGAAAGCGUGGGUAGCAAACAGGAUUAGAUACCCUUGUAGUC